UAAAGCUAAGUCCUCUUUCUUAGUUCAUUUUAAUUAGCCCUUUUGAAGGAUAGAAGUUUCAGAGGAUUCUACUUUAUUGUUGGGAGUGUAAUCGAAAACGGUGGAGGAACCCGUUCCUUGUGUUCAAGUAAAAUUUGAUAGCUAGCAUCCUAUGAUUUUUUUUCAAAUACGGCAGUAGCUAUGUUCAAAGCUCUAUGGUUCUAAGUUCUCGUGCUAGCUAUGAUUUCUUAUCAUGAUGCAGAGGUUGGUUUAGUGAGGAUUACCUCUAAAAUUGACCGCUGCCUUGAUUCCUGCUCCUUGAGCUCCAAAUCCCACACUCCUAACUCACUAUGUUGCUGAAUUUUUGAUGUGGUGUAAGGGAAGGUUGAGGGUGGUAAGGAGGGGUCUUUAUAGGUGAUUUGGUAACUGCAAAAUCUGCAACUCUUGAUCCUCUUGCAGGGACAUUUUUGUUGGUUGUGAGAGUGUACUCGUAUACUCAGGUCUGGGCUGCCUUAUUCUUGUUUUAUCUUGCUGCCAUUCUAACUGCAUUUGGCUGUAUGUGGAGCUUAGUGCUUUAGCUAAUAAAUGGCUUGGUUGCUGUGGCAGGUACUCAAGAAAGGGGCAGAGAUUGUUACUGCAGAUUGUCGCAGCUGGAAGGCAGACAUUGCAGGCUCAUUUGCCCCUUUGCAGCCUGCGGUUAAGGCUGGGAAAGGGCAGGGAUGGAAUAAGGACCCAUCAUGUCCGGCUGCUACCUUGAUGUUCUGAUCUCAACGGGCUGUCGAAGCUAGGCCGAAAUUCGGGCCUAAGGCAGAGCCCGAGACUUAGCAUUUCUACUUGUAAUAGAAUAGAGUCUUCCCUCUUGUUCUUUUUCAAGCUUUCUCUCAUUUCAAACAAAAAGUAUAGAAUUACUUCUCAAA